rnacentral:rRNA from 1 species
GACGAACGCUGGCGGCGUGCUUAACACAUGCAAGUCGAACGGAAAGGCCCUGCUUUUGUGGGGUGCUCGAGUGGCGAACGGGUGAGUAACACGUGAGUAACCUGCCCUUGACUUUGGGAUAACUUCAGGAAACUGGGGCUAAUACCGGAUAGGAGCUCCUGCUGCAUGGUGGGGGUUGGAAAGUUUCGGCGGUUGGGGAUGGACUCGCGGCUUAUCAGCUUGUUGGUGGGGUAGUGGCUUACCAAGGCUUUGACGGGUAGCCGGCCUGAGAGGGUGACCGGCCACAUUGGGACUGAGAUACGGCCCAGACUCCUACGGGAGGCAGCAGUGGGGAAUAUUGCACAAUGGGCGGAAGCCUGAUGCAGAAACGCGGCGUGCGGGAUGACGGCCUUCGGGUUGUAAACCGCUUUCGCCUGUGACGAAGCGUGAGUGACGGUAAUGGGUAAAGAAGCACCGGCUAACUACGU